UUGUCGGGGCGCGGCUGGGGGCCGGGGAGCUGCGCGGGGAGCUGUCUUCGGCUGUCGCCCGUGUGAACCGGGGUACCCCGAGUCUCCGGAAGGAGGAUUGGAGCCCCAGAUCUUCGCUGGCCGAGGUGACGUUUGUCUCUUCCCCGAAGGUUUUUGUCUUACUUGUACCACUUUCCACUUUUUCUUUUUCCCCGCGAGGUGUCCGGUUCCUUUCUGCCUCUGCGCGUUGGCGAAACUGGACUUCAGGGUGCGGGGCUCCGAGAACGAACGCGGCUGGAAACCGAGGCUUGUCUUUGGUGAGACCGCGAAUUAAUGAGGUCACCAGUUACUCUUGCUAAACUGGCGCUCCGUGGGAAAUAAUCUCCACCAAAUCUAGAACUUUCGGCUUGCUUCCACCUGGAAGGCUUCACCAGGUAUUGUUUGCUGCUUGACUUCAGCUGACCAUGCAGAGCCAGUUAAGAAAAAGAAGAAGAGAAAAGAAACAGGAAACUAUCCACCAAGUAUUUAAACACUAUUUCAGUUAUCACAGCUUUUCGGUAUUUCUUAUUUGAAAGCAUGGAAAUAUUUUGAAAAUAAAACAUUAAAUUGUGGAAAACUU